ACAAAGCCAUGAGACACAGGUAGUACUGAAAUCUUAAAGGUUACCAGAUACUCCCCAAGUGCCACAGAGUAGGAACGGUUUUGUGCGUAAAUGGACCUACAGGACUAAGAAUCACUGUGGGGUGGUUAGAAAUGAGUUUUGGGAAGACCAUGUGUCAUGGAUAAAUGUGGGUGUCAUCAGGGCAGAAGCUAAGGUCUUCAGAGAAUAACACUUCCCUGCCGCUGUCUCCAGUGUGCACUGCACAGAGACCAUUGGGAAAUCUCAAUCUCCUUUGCAUGCUCAGAUUAUAGACCCCCGGCUCUGACUCACAGUGGCAUCUUCUGUUGUGACCACAGGCAAAGACUCUCAAAGCAAAUGGCAGCUUCCAUGCCUAGUUCGUGCUCUGAGACACCAAUGUGGCCACUACCUCUAGCUCUGUCAGCUGGGAAGACACCCCUUUCAUCCAUUCUAACUCCCAGUAAGAUCCUGGCUGCCAGAGCCAAGAGUACAUUCACUUCUGACACAGUAGAGGCUUAUUUCUCCACCAUAAUCUUAUUGGGACUACUAGUGCUUUUUGCUUUUCAGUAUUUUCCAGUAUGCUUUAUGCCUUCCCAAAAUUUCAUUGAUUCCAGUUCCUACACACACACACACGAGAGAGAGAGAGAGAGAGAGAGAGAGAUUCCUUCAAACACUUGGAGCUGUCUCCCUCUGUAUCCUCACACAGACACUCACUUCUAUCUUGUUUGAUAGAGCCUAAGUGCAGACUGGCAAAGGUUAUUUAACUUUUUGUUCAUUUUGAACCCAUAGUGAGUAUUCUACCAUCUUGGCCUAGCCAUUGGAAAAAGUCCUUAAUCUUUAUCAAGCAGAAUGUGGAGGAAUGAAGAGAACAGAUUCAUCACAAUACCUAGAAUAGAAUUAGUCA
rnacentral:lncRNA from 1 species